UACAUCGGUAGUGCGAUCCAUGAUGGCACUUGUGACAUUAGUCCUUUCGUCCUUUUGGCCCUCACCCAUAUCCAUUAGAAUACGCUUAGGACAGUGUUGUGAGAAUAAAACUCCUCCAUGUGACAUAAAUUCGCUUAUCAAUGCGCGCAAAUCGAUAUUUAAUUAAUAUUAAAGAUCAAAUGUCGCAAUCUCACAAUAUUCUUAACAAGAAUUAUACAAUACUCCAUUUACCUUGUCGUGUACUCCGUUACAUCUUCGUCUACUCUAGAAAACGGCGAAGUCUUAUGGAAAUAGUCUUCGGUAACAGCGGACGACACCGUUAUGGGCU